UACGAAGGGAGCGAGCGUUGUUCGGAAUCACUGGGCUUAAAGCGUGCGUAGGUGGAUGUGUAAGUAAGAAGUGAAAUCCCAGGGCUUAACCCUGGAACUGCUUUUUAGACUGCACGUCUGGAAUUCGGAAAAGGUUGGUGGAACUCCCAGUGUAGAGGUGAAAUUCGCAGAUAUUGGGAAGAACACCGGUGGCGAAGGCGACCAACUGGUCCGACAUUGACACUGAGGCACGAAAGCGUGGGUAGCAAACAGA
rnacentral:rRNA from 1 species